UACGGAGGGGGCUAGCGUUGUUCGGAAUUACUGGGCGUAAAGCGCACGUAGGCGGCUUGGUAAGUUAGAGGUGAAAGCCUGGAGCUCAACUCCAGAAUUGCCUUUAAGACUGCCGAGCUAGCAGGUGAGAGAGGUGAGUGGACUUCCGAGUGUAGAGGUGAAAUUCGUAGAUAUUCGGAAGAACACCAGUGGCGAAGGCGGCUCACUGGCUCAUACUGGACGCUGAGGUGCGAAAGCGUGGGGAGCAAACAGG
rnacentral:rRNA from 1 species